AUGGGCUCCAGGCUCCUGUGCUAUGUGGCCCUUUGUCUCCUGGGAACAGGCCCAGUGGAUUCUGGAGUUGUGAAAACACCAAGACACCUGAUUAAAGCAAGAGGACAGCAAGUGCCACUGAGAUGUUCCCCCAUCUCUGGGCACUCCCGUGCAUCUUGGUACCAACAGGCACUGGGCCAGGGCCCCCAGUUUCUCAUUCAGUAUUACUAUUGGGAAGAGAAUGAAAAAGGAGAUAUCCCAGAUCAAUUCUCAGGGCAACAGUUCAGUGACUAUAACUCUGAGCUGAACAUGAGUGUCCUGGAGCUGAUGGACUCGGCCCUGUAUCUCUGA